UGAGGAAUAUUGGACAAUGGGCGCAAGCCUGAUCCAGCCAUGCCGCGUGCAGGAAGAAGCAUCUAUGGUGUGUAAACUGCUUUUGUACGGGAAGAAACACUCCUUCGUGAAGGAGCUUGACGGUACCGUAAGAAUAAGGAUCGGCUAACUCCGUGCCAGCAGCCGCGGUAAUACGGAGGAUCCAAGCGUUAUCCGGAAUCAUUGGGUUUAAAGGGUCCGUAGGCGGUUUAGUAAGUCAGUGGUGAAAGCCCAUCGAUCAACGAUAGAACGGCCAUUGAUACUGCUAAACUUGAAUUAUAGGAAGUAACUAGAAUAUGUAGUAUAGCGGUGAAAUGCAUAGAUAUUACAUGGAAUACCAAUUGCGAAGGCAGGUUACUACUAAUGGAUUGACGCUGAUGGAAGAAAGCGUGGGGAGCGAACA
rnacentral:rRNA from 1 species